rnacentral:rRNA from 1 species
GAUGAACGCUGGCGGCGUGCCUAAUACACGCAAGUCGAGCGAACGGACGAGAAGCUUGCUUCUCUGAUGUUAGCGGCGGACGGGUGAGUAACACGUGGAUAACCUACCUAUAAGACUGGGAUAACUUCGGGAAACCGGAGCUGAUACCGGAUAAUAUUUUGAACCGCAUGGUUCAAAAGUGAAAGACGGUCUUGCUGUCACUUAUAGAUGGAUCCGCGCUGCAUUAGCUAGUUGGUAAGGUAACGGCUUACCAAGGCAACGAUGCAUAGCCGACCUGAGAGGGUGAUCGGCCACACUGGAACUGAGACACGGUCCAGACUCCUACGGGAGGCAGCAGUAGGGAAUCUUCCGCAAUGGGCGAAAGCCUGACGGAGCAACGCCGCGUGAGUGAUGAAGGUCUUCGGAUCGUAAAACUCUGUUAUUAGGGAAGAACAUAUGUGUAAGUAACUGUGCACAUCUUGACGGUACCUAAUCAGAAAGCCACGGCUAACUACGUG